UACGUAGGGUGCAAGCGUUGUCCGGAAUUAUUGGGCGUAAAGAGCUCGUAGGCGGUCUGUCGCGUCGGCUGUGAAAACCUGGGGCUCAACUCCGGGCCUGCAGCCGAUACGGGCAGACUAGAAUUCGGUAGGGGAGACUGGAAUUCCUGGUGUAGCGGUGAAAUGCGCAGAUAUCAGGAGGAACACCGAUGGCGAAGGCAGGUCUCUGGGCAUUAACUGACGCUGAGGAGCGAAAGCAUGGGGAGCGAACAGG
rnacentral:rRNA from 1 species